GCUGGCGGCGUGCCUAAUACAUGCAAGUCGAGCGAACAGAUAAGGAGCUUGCUCCUUUGACGUUAGCGGCGGACGGGUGAGUAACACGUGGGUAACCUACCUAUAAGACUGGAAUAACUCCGGGAAACCGGGGCUAAUGCCGGAUAACAUUUAGAACCGCAUGGUUCUAAAGUGAAAGAUGGUUUUGCUAUCACUUAUAGAUGGACCCGCGCCGUAUUAGCUAGUUGGUAAGNUNAUUNCUUACCAAGGCAACGAUACGUAGCCGACCUGAGAGGGUGAUCGGCCACACUGGAACUGAGACACGGUCCAGACUCCUACGGGAGGCAGCAGUAGGGAAUCUUCCGCAAUGGGCGAAAGCCUGACGGAGCAACGCCGCGUGAGUGAUGAAGGUCUUCGGAUCGUAAAACUCUGUUAUUAGGGAAGAACAAAUGUGUAAGUAACUGUGCACGUCUG
rnacentral:rRNA from 2 species